GACGAACGCUGGCGGCGCGCCUAACACAUGCAAGUCGAACGAGCGAGAGAGAGCUUGCUUUCUCAAGCGAGUGGCGAACGGGUGAGUAACGCGUGAGACAUCCUGACGUUAGGGGGGGAUAACAGUCGGAAACGGCUGCUAAUACCGCAUAAUGCAUCAAUUUCGCAUGUUAUUGAUGCCAAAGGAGCAAUCCGCCUUUAGAUGAGCUCGCGUCUGAUUAGCUAGUUGGCGGGGUAACGGCCCACCAAGGCGACGAUCAGUAGCCGACCUGAGAGGGUGACCGGCCACAUUGGGACUGAGACACGGCCCAA
rnacentral:rRNA from 1 species